AAAUUUCCAAUAACUUACUAUAACAAAGACUGAUAGAACUACGUGGGUACACACAAGACUUAAAGUACUCACAAGACCAGCAACAUAAAAUAAAAUGUAAAGACAUUCAAUGGUUCAUUACACACAUGACAUGACACAUUCAUAAUUCAGCUCCAUAAGGAAUUAAGUCCUUGACAUUUACUACCAACAGUAACACACCAUAAAAUUAGGCAUACAAAAACAAGAAAAGAGAAGGUCCGUUGAGUGCCCUUGUGCAAUCCAAUGGCUACUUUUCUACUCUUGAAAUAUUUAUUUUCUAAGUCAACAAAUAAAGGAAAUGUUGGCGUUACUUGAGAAAACGAUAAGAUUUUCGUCUUAGCGAUGUGGUGGUCGAUGUGGCUUUUGAGGCUGUACAUGUGGUGUUGAUGGGACGUGGACAGGUGGUGGACUAGGACUAGGUGGUGGUGGUUUAGGUGUUCGUAGUAGAGAUCUUUGGUUGUUUGGUCCGGUGGUAUGCGGUUCAAUGGUGGGUGGCUGGUUUUUACUGAUCAGUCCAUUGGGCUGCGCAUGUAUUUGAUGUUUGGGGUUUCCUGCAAUAUUCGUGAGGCUGAUAACUG
rnacentral:lncRNA from 1 species